CUUCGGGGGUGACGCUGGUGGAAUGAGCGGCGGACGGGUGAGUAACACGUGGGCAACCUGCCUGUAAGACCGGAAUAACCCCGGGAAACCGGGGCUAAUGCCGGGUAACACCUUCUCUCGCAUGAGGGGAGGUUGAAAGAUGGCUUCUCGCUAUCGCUUACAGAUGGGCCCGCGGCGCAUUAGCUAGUUGGUGAGGUAACAGCUCACCAAGGCGACGAUGCGUAGCCGACCUGAGAGGGUGAUCGGCCACACUGGGACUGAGACACGGCCCAGACUCCUACGGGAGGCAGCAGUAGGGAAUCUUCCGCAAUGGACGAAAGUCUGACGGAGCAACGCCGCGUGAACGAUGAAGGUCUUCGGAUCGUAAAGUUCUGUUGUUAGGGAAGAACAAGUGCCGUGCGAAUAGAGCGGCACCUUGACGGUACCUAACGAGGAAGCCCCGGCUAACUACGUGCCAGCAGCCGCGGUAAUACGUAGGGGGCAAGCGUUGUCCGGAAUUAUUGGGCGUAAAGCGCGCGCAGGCGGUUCCUUAAGUCUGAUGUGAAAGCCCACGGCUCAACCGUGGAGGGUCAUUGGAAACUGGGGAACUUGAGGACAGAAGAGGAGAGUGGAAUUCCACGUGUAGCGGUGAAAUGCGCAGAUAUCG
rnacentral:rRNA from 1 species